GGUGAACAACAGGGAGAGAAGCCAUUUUCUGUGUCUCCAUAGAGCUGAAAGAAAUCUCAAAUAUUUCUGGUUGUCUGCAGAACAGCUGGUAGGUGGAGAGGCUUUGGAUGUAAUCUUCCUGGCCAUAUACUGCUGCCUGCCGAAAAUUGGCUUCCCUUGGGCCUAAGCUGAAGAAGUGGUGCUGAAGACCCUGUGAGAACAGUAGAGUCUAUUCAAGAGUGAAUAAGCAACAUAGAAUGGCAAUGGAGCCAGUGUGGUUAUCGGGGCUAUUUGAAGAAAGCACAUCAGAAUUUCAUCCAGGUAUCCCAGUAUUGGGCCCAGGAACUUGCGUGUAACUAAGGCACACCUUGCAGAAAGGCAUCCAGUCCUGAUUUGAAGACAUCAAGAUGGGGAAUUCACCCCUUCCCUUGGUAGUUUGUUACAAU